rnacentral:rRNA from 1 species
GUUUGAUCAUGGCUCAGAACGAACGCUGGCGGCGCGCCUAACACAUGCAAGUCGAACGAGAAUCCGGGGCAACCCGGUAGUAAAGUGGCAAACGGGUUGAGGAAUACAUGGGUAACCUACCCUUGAGAAGGGAAUAACCCGCCGAAAGGUGAGCUAAUACCCUAUACGCUAUCUUUUUUUCGAAAAGGAUAGGAAAGCCGGGUCGAGGACCUGGUACUCAAGGAGGGGCUCAUGUCCUAUCAGCUUGUUGGUGGGGGUAACGGCCUACCAAGGCUACGACGGGUAGCUGGUCUGAGAGGAUGAUCAGCCACACUGGCACUGAGAUACGGGCCAGACUCCUACGGGAGGCAGCAGUGAGGAAUAUUGCGCAAUGGGCGAAAGCCUGACGCAGCGACGCGCGUGGGGGAUGAAGUUUUCGGAUUGUAAACCCUUUCAUGAGGAAAGACAAAGUGGGUAACCACUUAGACGGUACCUCAACGAAGAAGCCACGGCUAACUUCGUG